rnacentral:sRNA from 1 species
CGUGUUUAGGGACAAACACAGGUUGUUAGGGACAGCGGCUAGGACAAUCGCGGGAUGCGAUUUCAUCAGGAUGAUGAGUAGGAAAUAUAGGGAAUAGGGACAAAAGUGGGCGGGUUAAACCGCCCCUUUUUUU